rnacentral:lncRNA from 1 species
GCUGCCACCCCGGCUCCCGGGCUCCGCCUUUCCUGGCUCCCGUCAGGGAGCACAGCCCUGCCUGAGGGAGGGAGAGAGGACGGUGGUCCCCAGAACCGCCGGGUCCCUGGGCAGCUGCUGGGUUUGGGAGCUCCCUGCACGCCGGGACCUGGAAGGGGCAGCUCCCCGAGGAUGCAGAUGUGCCGGGCCUGAGGGCACUCCCGGGGUCACAGGGGAGCCCAGCUGCCGGCACACGCACCAGCCCACCGUGGUGGCCACCAGACACGCUAAUAGAAGCUUUUAUUUUCUUUUAUUCUUUUAUUCUUUUUUUUUUUUUUUUAAAUGUUUAUUUUUCAGUUCUGUUAUUGCAAAAUACCAGCUAUGACCAGCUCCUUCCUGUGGAGCCCAGCCUGCAGGAGUGCCCUGGUUUGUGCCAAGGAAAUGCUCCUGUCCCACAGUUACAGAACACCUGCCGGCUGGGGACCUGGGCUGAUGCUGGACAGGCAGCCCUUGGCUUCCAGAAUUCUAUCCAAAUCACAAACUGCA